UCCCUGGUGGUCCAGUGUUUAAGACUCUGUACUUCUAAUGCAACGGUCCCAGGUUCGAUCCUUGGUCAGGGAA